UACGGGGGAGCAAGCGUUGUUCGGAUUUACUGGGCGUAAAGGGCGCGUAGGCGGCGUAACAAGUUCACUUGUGAAAUCUCCGGGCUUAACUCGGAGCGGUCAAGUGAUACUGUUGUGCUAAGAGUGCUGGAAGGGGCUACUGGAAUUCUCGGUGUAGCGGUGAAAUGCGUAGAUAUCGAGAGGAACACCUGCGGCGAAGGCGGGUAGCUGGGCCGACACUGACGCUGAAGCGCGAAAGCUAGGGGAGCGAACGGG
rnacentral:rRNA from 1 species